rnacentral:tRNA from 1 species
CUGACAAAAGCCAAAAACGAUAGUAGCCAUGCUAAGAGAGUAGUAUUCUCUUCUUUUCAAGACAAAGUACCUGUCA